rnacentral:rRNA from 1 species
UCGGGAAUUUUGGGCAAUGGGCGAAAGCCUGACCCAGCAAUGCCGCGUGAGGGAUGAAGUAUUUCGGUAUGUAAACCUCGAAAGAAUGGGAAGAAUAAAUGACGGUACCAUUUAUAAGCUCCGGCUAACUACGUGCCAGCAGCCGCGGUAAUACGUAGGGAGCAAGCGUUGUUCGGAUUUACUGGGCGUAAAGGGCGCGUAGGCGGCGCGGUAAGUCACUUGUGAAAUCUCUGAGCUUAACUCAGAACGGCCAAGUGAUACUGCUGUGCUAGAGUGCGGAAGAGGCAACCGGAAUUCUUGGUGUAGCGGUGAAAUGCGUAGAUAUCAAGAGGAACACCUGAGGCGAAGGCGGGUUGCUGGGCCGACACUGACGCUGAUGCGCGAAAGCCAGGGGAGCAAACG